AUUUUUCAAUUUUGAAAGCUCAGUUCUACUGUGAAAGAGAAACUGGCAAAAUGUCAUCAGAUGGCCCCAAAUCUGCUUCCUCUUAGUGACUUCCAAAUCCAAAGUGCUCGCUUUAAAAAUAAAAAGAUGCAGCUUUUUUAACAGAUAAUUUCACCAGCAACCAGUCUGAGAGACAAAAGAGUUCAUUCCUUCUCUUAUAAAAAUUAUGUUGUGGAGAAAGUUAUCUGGCAUUUUUACAGGCCCAACAGACUUGAAUGUUGAAGUUGAUUCUGUUGAUGCACAAGAAAUAAGUAAUACUCUCUAGCCCUUCUCCCACAGCUCUGCUGCUCCUGAGCUGCUGCUCAGAAAGAGGCCUGCCAGUGGGGAAAGUGCUAUUACCUUCAGCAGAAAAAGCAGCUGGGAUUCAAACCUGUCUCAAAAGUCCUUUAGGAGGGAGACGCUGCUCUGGUAGAAAGAAUUUGCUUCCUGCAGGCAAGCUGAGUAAAGAUGAGAGUUCUGGAAAAGCAUCUUCCGUGACUGAAUGCUGCAAGGGGCCCAGCUCUCAGUCCCUGUUCUGUGAGAUUGCCAGGCCAAGACACAGAUGCCAUGUUCAUGAAAUUGCGGAGCCCUGUCAUGUGGCCCAGGGCUUUCUGCUGCUACCUCACCAUCAAUUUGAUUUGAAGAAGAGAGAAGGAACCAAAGACUCCAUCUGCAUUAGAUGCAGCAGGGAUCGAGGCGCUACCGCGGCCGGCCAGAGCAUGCACGCCCAGGAGCGGCAGCAAACGCAGCUCGGCUGCAGGCGGACGUGGCUACGUCCCAGGGAACCUGCAGGGCUGUUCUCUGCCCUUGGCUGCAGGUAAUUGCUUUGCCUCAUGCAAUUAUAUGGGGUAAUUAAAAGUAGAUUGCACAAAGCAGAGCAAAACUAUCAGUACAACCUCCCCAUUUGAGGUCUGUUCCUUUAAGAGUGAUUAUGUGUUUUUAUUUUUUAUUAUUAUUUUUUGUUAACCCAACCUGCCUCUGUGUUUUCUACCCAGCUAAUCUGUAAUCAGUAUGGUAUAGGAAGGGAAAAUAAAAGUAUACUUUUAAACA
rnacentral:lncRNA from 1 species